CUACGGGACGCUGCAGUGGGGAAUAUUGCACAAUGGGGGGAACCCUGAUGCAGCAACGCCGCGUAGAGGAAGACGCAUUUCGGUGUGUAAACUCCUUUUAUAUAGGAAGAUAAUGACGGUACUAUAUGAAUAAGCACCGGCUAACUCUGUGCCAGCAGCCGCGGUAAUACGGAGGAUGCAAGCGUUACUCGGAAUCACUGGGCGUAAAGCGCACGCAGGCGGCUAAAUAAGUUGGAAGUGAAAUCCACUGGCUCAACCAGUGAACUGCUUCCAAAACUGUUUGGCUAGAGUCUGGGAGGGGAAGAUGGAAUUAGUGGUGCAGGGGUAAAAUCCGUAGAGAUCACUAGGAAUACCAAAAGCGAAGGCGAUCUUCUGGAACAGUACUGACGCUGAGGUGCGAAAGCGUGGGGAGCAAACAGGAUUAGAUACCCGAGUAGUC
rnacentral:rRNA from 1 species